GCUGACUAUACUAUGUUGAUAGGCUGACAAUUACUGCAUCUAUACUGAAAAUACAUAGACUCUUUUCCUUAUCAUGAGUCCCUAAACAAUACAAUAGAACAACUAUUUGCAUAGCUUUUACAAUGCAUGAGGUAUUUUAAGUAAUCUAGACAUAAUUGAGAGUAUACAAGAGGAUGUGGGUAAGUUACAUACAAAUAUGUCAUUUUAUAAAAGGGACUGGACAUGGCUCACGGAGUGCUGGAACCAAUACCCAGCAGGUAUCAAGGGAUGACUGUACUGGAAAGAAACUGAAAUUACUUAAGGUUUUACCAAGUGCUUACAUUCACAGGGUCUAUCUCCAAUGUGUUUCGUACAAGUAUCUGAAAUGAAAUAAAAUUAAUAAAUGCUUUCCCACAUUCCAUACAUUUAGAGAGAAUGCUAGUGAGUCUUUUUAUGUCUAUGCAAGGAACUGAGAGAAGCAAAUGCUUUCCCACAUUCCUUACAUCCAUACGGGUUCUCUCCAGUGUGAGUUUUUUUCCAGUGAGUCUUUUUAUGUCUAUGCAAGGAACUGAGAGAAGCAAAUGCUUUCCCACAUUCCUUACAUUCAUACGGGUUCUCUCCAGUAUGAGUUUUUUCAUGUCCUUGAAGAAAACGGGAAUGAGUGAAGGCUUUACCACAUUGUUGACACUCAUAGGGUUUCUCUCUCAUGUGAAUUCUUUCAUGUCGUAGAAAGCAAGUGAGCCAAGAGAAUGCUUUCCCACAUUCCUUACAUUCAUACGGCUUCUCUCCAGAGUGAAUUCUUUCAUGUACUUUUAAGUUACCAAAAUGACUGAAGGCUUUCUUACAUGUGUUACACUCAUAAGGUUUCUCUCCUGUGUGAGUCCUUCUAUGUUGAGAAAGGUAUUGGAAACAACUGAAUGCUUUCCCACAUUCCUUACACUCAUAUGGCUUCUCUCCAGCAUGAGUUGUUUUGUGAUUUUGAAAGGAAUAGAAAUCAAUAAAGGCUUUCCCACAUUUGCAUUUAUAGGGUUUCUCUCCAGUAUGAGUUGUUUCAUGCCUUCGAAGAGAACUGGAAAUACGGUAGGCUUUCCCAAGUUUGCAUUUAUAGGGUUUCUCUCCAGUAUGAGUUGUUUCAUGCCUUCGAAGGGAACUGGAAAUACGGUAGGCUUUGCCACAUUGUUUACAUUUAUAGGGUUUCUCUGCAGUGUGAGUCCUUUCAUGUCUUUGAAAUACACUGGGAUAAACAAAGGCUUUCCCACAUACCUUGCAUUUAUGAGGUCCAUCUCCAGUGUGCAUUAUCAUAUGACUUCGAAAGCUUGAGCGAUGAGAUAAUGCUUUCCCACACUGCUUGCAUUCAUAGGGUUUCUCUCCAGUGUGAGUUCUUUCAUGACUUUGCAGUGAACUAGGACAAUCAAAGCCUUUCCCACAUAUCUUACAUUUAUGAGGUCCAUUUCCAGUGUGCCUUAUCAUGUGUCUUUGAAAGCUUCCCAGAUGAUGAAACGCUUUCCCACAUUGCUGACAUGCAUAGGGUUUCUCUGCACUGUGAGUGGUUUCAUGUCUUUGAAGGGAACCGGAAACACUGAAGGCUUUCCCACAUUGUUUACAUGUAUAGGGUUUC
rnacentral:lncRNA from 1 species